rnacentral:rRNA from 1 species
GAUGAACGCUGGCGGCGUGCCUAAUACAUGCAAGUCGAGCGAACAGACGAGGAGCUGGCUCCUCUGACGUUAGCGGCGGACGGGUGAGUAACACGUGGAUAACCUACCUAUAAGACUGGGAUAACUUCGGGAAACCGGAGCUAAUACCGGAUAAUAUAUUGAACCGCAUGGUUCAAUAGUGAAAGACGGUUUUGCUGUCACUUAUAGAUGGAUCCGCGCCGCAUUAGCUAGUUGGUAAGGUAACGGCUUACCAAGGCAACGAUGCGUAGCCGACCUGAGAGGGUGAUCGGCCACACUGGAACUGAGACACGGUACAGACUCCUACGGGAGGCAGCAGUAGGGAAUCUUCCGCAAUGGGCGAAAGCCUGAAGGAGCAACGCCGCGUGGGUGAUGAAGGUCUUCGGAUCGUAAAACUCUGUUAUUAGGGAAGACCAAAUGUGUAAGUAACUAUGCACGUCUUGACGGUACCUAAUCAGAAAGCCACGGCUAACUACGUG